AACUUUUGGCAAUAGAUCACUUGGCUCUCGCAUCGAUGAAGAACGCAGCGAAAUGCGAUAAGUAAUGUGAAUUGCAGAAUUCAGUGAAUCAUCGAAUCUUUGAACGCACCUUGCGCCCCUUGGUAUUCCGAGGGGCACGCCUGUUUGAGUGUCAUUAAAUUCUCAACCUUGCCAGCUUUCACGAGUUGGUGUAGGCUUGGAUGUGGGGGUUGCCGGCUUCUUCAGAGGUCGGCUCUCCUUAAAUGCAUUAGCGGAACCUUUGUGGACCGUCUCUGGUGUGAUAAUUAUCUACGCCAUUGCCGUGAAGCAGCUUUACAUGGGGUUCAGCUCAUAACCGUCCAUUGACUUGGACAACUCUUGACAUUUUGACCUCAAAUCAGGCGGGACUACCCGCUGAACUUAAGCAUAUCAAUAAGCGGAGGCU
rnacentral:misc_RNA from 1 species